rnacentral:tRNA from 1 species
AUUUAUAUAGUUUAACUUAAAACAAUUCAUUUUCAAUGAAUAGAUGAGUUUUUACUCUAUAAAUA